UCGAGAAUCUUCGGCAAUGGGCGCAAGCCUGACCGAGCGACGCCGCGUGGAGGACGAAGGCCUUCGGGUUGUAAACUCCUGUCGAGGGGGAGGAAGCCGCAAGGUUGACCCAUCCCUGGAGGAAGGACGGGCUAAGUUCGUGCCAGCAGCCGCGGUAAGACGAACCGUCCUAACGUUAUUCGGAAUUACUGGGCUUAAAGCGCGUGUAGGCGGGGUGGUGCGUCCGUCGCUGAAAUACCUCGGCUCAACCGAGGAACUGGCGUGGAUACGGCCGCCCUGGAGGGGUGUAGGGGGACCUGGAACUUCCGGUGGAGCGGUGAAAUGCGUUGAGAUCGGAAGGAACGCCCGUGGCGAAAGCGAGGUCCUGGACACUUUCUGACGCUGAGACGCGAAAGCCAGGGGAGCAAACGGG
rnacentral:rRNA from 1 species